CCGAACGACGGCCUAAAAACCCGAAAAACCCGUUAGUUUCAAAAAGUGCUCAGUUCAAAAGGCACAUGUCCAUUUUCACAUCAGAGCCAACAUUUCACACCAUACAACCUGAAACAUGCAAAAUUGGCCAAUUUUCUCGCCUCCUAAUGCACCAUUUAUGGGAUAUUAAUUGGCCAUUUACCACUGUUCGGUGUCAGUGGCGCACCGAUGAAAAUUUCCCAAUAGAAUUGAUGUUAAACUAUUCAUUAUAGGUGGCCUGCAUUUAUUGAUUGUAGUAAAUCUGCUUGCUUUCGCCAGCCAAUAGCUUACCAGUCUGAAUAUUAUAUGAGAAGUAAAGCCGUUAUAAUUUCCCAUCAUAAAUUCGAGCCGUGUGUUUUGCAAUAUUCGAACGAUUUACAUGGAAUACGGGAUUUGGACGAUUGUUUCGUUUGAUAUGAAGAUCUUUACGGUUACGGCCGUUGUACACGAAUGCCAAUAAACCGUCACAAAAGCUCAAUAAAUUUUCAACUGUGAUUUAUUGGAGCGUUGGCCCCGCAAAUCCGAUUGAAAAUCAAUAUUUUCAAGGGAACCUGCAUGGUACCAUCAAGCUCGUUUGUCGAUUUUCUCUUUGUUUUGUGCUAAAUACGGUUUCGGAGCGUAUUCAGGUCACAAAUACAAAACCGCAUUUAUCAGCGUUUAUUAUAGAAAAGGUCAUCGAAAAAUGUCAGCGUCGGUUCGGACCUAAUUUUUGAUGAAUGCGAGGCGGCGAAUGGCUCGACAUUUCGCGAAAUUAAACACGAACCUUCGAUUGCUUAUUGGACGUUUUGAGCCAAAAAUUCAGCUCAUAUUCUACACUAAAAAGUCUAUUAAACCAAACUUUUACCAUCAAGCCUCACGCAUACUUUUAUUUAUGCCGUUUAAAAAGUUCCAUAACUUGCUGAUGCAUGACUCCCACUUUAUUUUCUUGUGUAUUUUACUGUCUUGACCUAAUUAGUAAAGCAUUGUUUUUCAAAGGAAUAAUCGCAAUAGUUAUAGCGACUGAUGAGAUUUUUCGAAAUGUUUCUGCACAUUUACGCUUGUGUCUAUUUAGGUUAGAAAAUGCUGUUUAAAGUCUCAGAGCGGUUUUCAAAACCCGCGUUCACUUCGAUUUCUUGCAUUUUGCCUCAAAGCUACAAAAUUUUCUAAAUCGAUGUUUUAUAAAAAAAAGUGCGUAUUUUAAUGCUCUAUCCGGCAGAGACAAAUGCACCUUUACAGUUCAACUGGUUCUCGAAAUACGAGCCAAAGACUAAGAGACUAAGGACUAAACAUUUUGUAAGCGACCUGGGAAAACGGAGCAACCACGGCGACAGCGGCAACACUGGUGGGCGGGAGUGUCAACAUCGGACCUACUUUAUGGUUGUGACAGGAGACGGCGCUGCGGUACUUCCGGGCAACAACACAGAACAUCCGUGGGGUUGCCAGGGGAGAUGGAUUAUUAUUGAUUUGAUGGUGACGGUUUAAGGCGUUCCUUAAAGUUAUUGAAUUUUGCGUCGAUCGCAUGCUUCCUUAAAUUUAACUCUAUCAAUUUAUAAAAUGUUGUUUAACAAUCGCUGUCUUUGGGUGCCGCGCUUAAAGUUGUCCGAAAAACCAACAAAAUUGCAAAGUGCGCGCUUCGCUCUGGUACCUUUGAAGCAUCAACCGCCUACUCGUACCUCAGAAAAGGGGUAGUCCAAACUGCCAAACAGAUCGCGUUCGUCCAGCGAUCGAGAACGUCCUCCUCCUUCUUGCCAACCUCCUCUACUUGGCGGACGAAGCUGCAUCGUCGCUCCAACUUGCCAUCCUCCGGGACGAAAAUCUGAGGCAGCUGAUUGUGCAGCGAAAGAGUCGACUGGUUCUCGACAUGGUUCUCCUGGACGAGAGUGGUGGGAGACAGAGGCAGUUGGGGCAGAUGGUGGCUGGACGCAUGGAUGGGAUGAACCGGGAUGCAGAUGGAGGGACUUUCGCGGAUUCGGGCUUUGGCGUGCGGCUCUUUCAGGUAGUUGGAGGUGCUGUGCCGCCUCUCGUUUUGACUGGGCGGCUUCAACACGCCCCUCUCCACACGGGAUAAGCGAGGAACAGCGGCAUCCGUGUAAUUGUGGAACUGUUUAGCUUGCGG
rnacentral:lncRNA from 1 species